rnacentral:rRNA from 1 species
GAUGAACGCUGGCGGCGUGCCUAACACAUGCAAGUCGAACGGAAAGGCCCUGCUUUUGUGGGGUGCUCGAGUGGCGAACGCGUGAGUAACACGCGAGUAACCUGUCCCUGACUUUGGGAUAACUUCAGGGAACUGGGGCUAAUACCGGAUAGGAGAUUCUGCUGCAUGGUGGUGGAUGGAAAGUUUCGGCGGUUGGGGAUGGACUCGCGGCUUAUGAGCUUGUUGGGGGAGUAGUGGCUUACCAAGGCUUUGACGGGUAGCCGGCCUGAGAGGGGGACCGGCCACAUUGGGACUGAGAUACGGCCCAGACUCCUACGGGAGGCAGCAGUGGGGAAUAUGGCACAAUGGGCGGAAGCCUGAUGCAGCAACGCCGCGUGCGGGAUGACGGCCUUCGGGUGGUAAACCGCUUUCGCCUGUAACGAAGCGAGAGUGACGGUAAUGGGUAAAGAAGCACCGGCUAACUACGUG